UACGGAGGGUGCAAGCGUUAUCCGGAAUCACUGGGUUUAAAGGGUGCGUAGGCGGUCGGGUAAGUCUGACGUGAAAUCUUCAAGCUCAACUUGGAAACUGCGUCGGAUACUAUUCGGCUAGAGGAAUGGAGGGGAGACUGGAAUACUUGGUGUAGCAGUGAAAUGCGUAGAUAUCAAGUGGAACACCAGUGGCGAAGGCGAGUCUCUGGACAUUUCCUGACGCUGAGGCACGAAAGCCAGGGGAGCAAACGGG
rnacentral:rRNA from 1 species